GAUGAACGCUGGCGGCGUGCCUAAUACAUGCAAGUCGAGCGAACGGACGAGAAGCUUUCUUCUCUGAUGUUAGCGGCGGACGGGUGAGUAACACGUGGAUAACCUACCUAUAAGACUGGGAUAACUUCGGGAAACCGGAGCUAAUACCGGAUAAUAUUUUGAACCGCAUGGUUCAAAAGUGAAAGACGGUCUUGCUGUCACUUAUAGAUGGAUCCGCGCUGCAUUAGCUAGUUGGUAAGGUAACGGCUUACCAAGGCAACGAUGCAUAGCCGACCUGAGAGGGUGAUCGGCCACACUGGAACUGAGACACGGUCCAGACUCCUACGGGAGGCAGCAGUAGGGAAUAUUCCGCAAUGGGCGAAAGCCUGACGGAGCAACGCCGCGUGAGUGAUGAAGGUCUUCGGAUCGUAAAACUCUGUUAUUAGGGAAGAACAUAUGUGUAAGUAACUGUGCACAUCUUGACGGUACCUAAUCAGAAAGCAACGGCUAACUACGUG
rnacentral:rRNA from 1 species